rnacentral:rRNA from 1 species
GACGAACGCUGGCGGCGUGCCUAAUACAUGCAAGUCGAACGCAGUGGGGACGGGUGAGUAACACGUGGGUAACCUCCCAUCAGAGGGGAUAACACUUGGAUACAGCUGCUAACCCGAUCUUGAUGGAUGGACCCGCGGUGCAUUAGCUCUUUGGUGGGUUAACGGCUCACCAAGUCCACGAUGCAUCGCCGACCUGAGAGGGUGAUCGGCCACACUGGGACGGAGACACGGCACAGACUCCUACGGGAGGCAGCAGGAGGGAAUCUUCGGCAAUGGACGAAAGUCUGACCGAGCCACGCCGCGUGAGUGAAGAAGGUUGUCGGAUCGUAAAACACUGUUGUUAGAGAAGCGGUAUCUAACCAGAAAGCCACGGCUAACUACGUGCCAGCAGCCGCGGUAAUUC